AGUCAAUAGAUACCCUGGUAGUCCAUGCCGUAAACGAUGAAUACUAGGUGUAGGAGGUAUCGACUCCUUCUGUGCCGCAGUUAACACAAUAAGUAUUCCGCCUGGGGAGUACGGUCGCAAGAUUAAAACUCAAAGGAAUUGACGGGGGCCCGCACAAGCAGCGGAGCAUGUGGUUUAAUUCGAAGCAACGCGAAGAACCUUACCCAGACUUGACAUCUCCUGAAUUAAUCGUAAUUGAUGAAAUCCCUUCGGGGACAGGAAGACAGGUGGUGCAUGGUUGUCGUCAGCUCGUGUCGUGAGAUGUUGGGUUAAGUCCCGCAACGAGCGCAACCCUUAUCAUUAGUUGCUAACAUUAAGUUGAGCACUCUAGUGAGACUGCCCGGGUUAACCGGGAGGAAGGUGGGGAUGACGUCAAAUCAUCAUGCCCCUUAUGUCUGGGGCUACACACGUGCUACAAUGGUGGGAACAAAGAGAUGCAAGACCGCGAGGUGGAGCCAAAUCAAAAACCCGAUCCCAGUUCGGAUUGUAGGCUGAAACUC
rnacentral:rRNA from 1 species